UAAUACAUGUUUAUUGUCCUGGGCAUCUGCACAAUGUUGGCCUGGGCUUGGAAGCCACAGCUUGGUGCUCUGAGCCCAGAUGAACUGUCCACCUGACCCACAAGGGACUCACAGUCAAGGGCCGUGGACCCCAGCAGGCUGAGUACCAACUACACCCAUGUCACCCUUUCACUCAUUUCCUUGUCAAAUUUUAACUGAGCACCUGCUAAAUUCAGCCUCAACCCAGGGGCCAAGGAGAGACGUAACCAAGGCCUGGUCCCAGGGUGUUCUGGAACCCACAGUGACCCUGGGAGGCACCAAGCACUCUCCUCUCUGGGAGAGGCAUCUGCUCUUAUCCUACAGAACACAGCCGAGGGGCAGCUGGCCCUGCAGGACCUGGGUAAGGCCUCCCAGGAGAGGCAGUCGCUGAACCUGGCCCUGACCAGGCCUCUCCAGGCUGGAAUGUGGAGAGGGUGUUCCAGGCGAGAGAACAGUGCGUGCCAGGAGCAGACUCAUACAGCCUGGCUUGACCCCCACGGUGAUGACAGGGUACCCAGGGCCAGCAAGGAGAGAUGGGCGUGGAGAGGCCACGCAGCCAGGGAUUGGACUGGACCCACGGCUGGCAGAGGUCACUGUGAGGCCUCUCUGCUUGUUUCACUGUACGCAGAGUGAGGAGUCUGGGCAAGCGCUGAGCGCUGGGCCUUUUGGGGUGGGGUUGCCUCUGUGCCGACGCAGGACACGUGGCGGGCAGGACUGGCCCUCUCACCUGGCAGAAAGCUCUGCCAAGGGUGAGCCCGGCCUCUCCACAUCUCCUGACCUGCCAUGUGACAGGCCGCUCCCCUGCCCCUCACCUGGCCACGGGCAUUCCUGCGGUUGGCAAGGCCCUUGCGCCAACAGUUUGUUUUUGUGUGUCCCCCACACCUGGGUGUGGCCGUCUUCUCCACCUCCCGAGGCUGCAGGUGCACAGAAAGGUUCCCAGCCAUGGGAGGCGGGGCGGGUGGCGCCUCACAUCAUGCUCCCAAAAUGCCCCACCUCUCCCCUCUCCGCCCUCUUGAGGAAGAGGGCAGAUGGCAGGUGCAUCUCUAGCCCCAGCAUGUGAGCUUGGGACCUGCCCAUCUGGACUCUUCUCCUUAAGGGGUAGCUGGGAGCAAGACCCCUGAGGGGCCCGGGGAAGGGAGGCAGGUCCUGAUACCCUUUCCCAUCAGUCUUCCUACCCGAGAGAGCCCAGGGACACACAGUGAGUGAGGCAACUGGGGAGGUGGCAUGUCCCUGUGUUCCACGUGGGAGCCUGUGGUCGAGUGGGUGCCAGUCGGAGAUAGUCUCUGCAGUGGAAGAAGCCCCUCGGUGCCCAGAUGUGGCCAAGGUGCCCCAGCCCGUGCCAGAGGGGCCUUGGAGCCGGCUGGUGUGGUCCUAAGAGAAGGAAGGCUUUCCCGAGGUGACACACCUCCCAGGGUGACACCUGCCCUGGCGCCCCUGGUCCCGCCUCCACCUUGGCCCAGACCUUUCCAGACAAUAUGCUCGGACCCUCCUGGGGUCCUGUGAUCCCACCCAGAUGUUUGGAAUGGGCCUGGAGUCCAGCCUUCAGUCCUGUCUGAUGGAGGAGGCCAGGACAGUCUUGGGCCCGUGGCCUCCCCUUCCCAGGAGCACCAGGCUGGCGUCUGCACCUGGAGAGGCUCUGCUUUCCUGAGAACCAAGGGCUGGUGGAGUCAGGUUGCAGUGGCCUUGGGGGAGGGGGGUAGCUCAGCUGGCAGCGCCCUGGGAGGCUGCGAGCCUCAGGCUUAGGUAACAGCGCCAACCCCUCCCUCCUCUGCAGAAAGGGAAGCUGGGUGAGGUCAGCUGGGAGCCAGAGAGGCUGUGG
rnacentral:lncRNA from 1 species